rnacentral:rRNA from 1 species
GCGUAGAUAUCGGGAAGAACACCAGUGGCGAAAGGCGCUCUGCUGGGCCAUAAACUGACGCUCAUGGACGAAAGCCAGGGGAGCGAAAGGGAUUAGAUACCCCUGUAGUCCUGGCCGUAAACGAUGAACACUAGGUGUCGGGGGAAUCGACCCCCUCGGUGUCGUAGCUAACGCGUUAAGUGUUCCGCCUGGGGAGUACGCACGCAAGUGUGAAACUCAAAGGAAUUGACGGGGGCCCGCACAAGCGGUGGAGUAUGUGGUUUAAUUCGAUGCAACGCGAAGAACCUUACCAGGGUUUGACAUCCUGCGAACCUUUAAGAAAUUAGAGGGUGCCUUCGGGAACGCAGUGACAGGUGGUGCAUGGCUGUCGUCAGCUCGUGUCGUGAGAUGUUGGGUUAAGUCCCGCAACGAGCGCAACCCACGUUUUUAGUUGCCAGCAUUCAGUUGGGCACUCUAGAAAGACCGCCGGUGAUAAACCGGAGGAAGGUGUGGAUGACGUCAAGUCAUCAUGCCCCUUACAUCCUGGGCUACACACGUACUACAAUGCUGCGGACAAAGGGCAGCAAGCUCGCGAGAGCAAGCAAAUCCCAUAAACCGUGGCUCAGUUCAGAUCGUAGGCUGCAACUCGCCUACGUGAAGUAGGAAUCGCUAGUAAUCGCAGGUCAACAUACUGCGGUGAAUACGUUCCCGGGCCUUGUACACACCGCCCGUCACAUCAUGGAAGUUGGCCAUGCCCGAAGUCGUUACUCCAACCCUUGUGGAGGAGGACGCCGAAGGUGGGGCUAAUGACUGGGGUGAAGUCGUAACAAGGUAACC